UACGUAGGGGGCGAGCGUUGUCCGGAGUUACUGGGCGUAAAGCGUGCGCAGGCGGUUUGUUAAGUCCGUUGUGAAAGCCCCCGAGCUCAACUUGGGAAUUGCAGUGGAUACUGGCAGGCUGGAGUACGGUAGAGGAAGGUGGAAUUCCCGGUGUAGCAGUGAAAUGCGUAGAUAUCGGGAGGAACACCAGUGGCGAAGGCGGCCUUCUGGACCAGUACUGACGCUCAUGCACGAAAGCGUGGGGAGCAAACAGG
rnacentral:rRNA from 1 species